rnacentral:lncRNA from 1 species
ACAGAAGUACAGAAGGGAAUAAGAUGGAACAGAGCUGUAGGAACUGGCUAAAUUUGGUCGUUGAAUCUGGUUAUUUACUUUUCUCCCCUCAAAAUGCUCCAUCCAUCCACGCCACAUCUGAGGACUAUGUCUUCCAUGGAGCAUGAAGAUGCCUUUUCUUGGAAGAGGAUCAUUAGCUCUAAAGAGCUUGGAAGGUACAACAUAGAGAGGAACAGGGACAAGAGGUGCUCAAAGUCUUGUAUAAUGAAUGAUGUCUUCAGACUGCAGGCAGAGGUCAGUCAGUGCUUCCAGCCUGGUAAUGCAAGAGCCAGGACCCUUUCCGCUGUGGCACACUGCUGUUGUCCUCUCAAGUCCCCUGUUGCUGGUGCUGGGAUGCAUUGGGAGGCUUAAAACAAAGAAAGAAGUCACAUUGUCCUGGCAAGGAGAAUAAAGGUACAGGUGCUUAGCUAGGAUGACUUCA